UCCAGCGAGCGACCGCCAUAUCCACGCUUGGGAGAAUGCUGCGACUCCAGACCUACCUACCUCCCCUCAGCGUAAACACUGCGGCGGACAGGACAGACGACCCGAGUUAGGCAAGUACCCACCGAAGUCUCCACCACCGAGCAUCCUCCUUACCCACCCAGUCCCCGCGCACCCACGCUUUGACUCCGGGAUGAAGGGGGUUUCUUCCCGAUAGAAGCAGAGAGCAGAGGCUUUCCCCUACGGCCGUCUCAAUCCCAGCCAGUGUUCCUGUCCGGUCCCUUCACCUGGUCAAGGGUUGAGAUUGGAGGAGCAGCCAACCCCAAGUCCCAACCGGAUUCGCGAGGUCGAGCCCCGGGGCUGCCCUGGAGGAGAGGAGAGGGGGCGGCUCGGCUCUAGCUACGGCUUCUCCCUUCCUCCAAAACGGAGGGCUGGGAAAGCGGCUCCGAAGCUCACACUGAGCUCUCUGGCCACCUGGAGUAAAAGGGUUGUGUGAGGGCGAAGCCCCGCGCUGCCGCCGGGUCUUCCGCGCCUUUCCAUCAGACCGUAGGUGUAGUCGACCUGUUGCCUGCGGGAAAGCGUCCCACAAGAUCCGAGCUCCAGGAGUCCACGCGGGAGUCAGAGGUGAUUCUGCUGGGGAGCAACCCGAGAGUCCAGCUCCCACAGAAGGAAAACGUAUACAGUACCGGGAAAGGCAGCGGAGUCCCUGUCUGAAGGUCAGGAUCUGGCUACUUAAAGUCCCUGUGGUCGCUUCCUGAGGAUCCCGGCUUCAGCACCAGAAGCUGGACAGCACCUGGUCCGCACAGCGCCAAGGGUCGGUUCCCACGCUCUGCUCAACCCUGUCGGGCACGUGCCCACACUCCCACAGAGUCCAUUCAGAAGAGGCCAGGAGCUUCUCAGCUACUCUUUCAGUGUGAGAACUGGGAGAAAUGGUGACAACGAUUCCAAUACGCUAGAAGAGCGAACCGACCACUGCCCAGGAAGGCUCCUGGCAGGAAAGAAGGCGGGUCAGGG